rnacentral:misc_RNA from 1 species
CCGAGCGUCAUUGCACCUCUCAAGCGUAGCUUGGCAUUGGAUCUUCGUCCUCGCGGACGGGUCUGAAAAUGAGUGGCGGUCCGGUGUGACUUCAAGCGUAGUAAAUUAUUUUCGCUUUGGAAGCUUUAUACUGUGACCGGCCAAAAUCUCACUCUUCAAUAAUUGACCUCGGAUCAGGUAGGGAUACCCGCUGAACUUAA